AGCACCAUUUAUAAAAGAAAAAAAUCAGUAAAUUGGAUUUCAUCAAAUUUAAAAACUUUUGCUCUGUAAAAGACCUUGUUCAGAAGAUGAAAAGAUAAGCUACAGACUGGCAGGAAAUGUUUGUGAUCUAUCCAUCUGAAAAGGGAUUGAUAUCCAGAAUAUACAAGAAACUCGAACAUCUCAACAACAACAACAAAAAUCUGAUUUAAACAUGUCAUACAAAUGAACCGAAUGACAUUUCUCAAAAGACAUACAGAUGGCCAACAAAUAUAUGGAAAAAAUGCUCAACAUCACUAAUCAUCAGGGAAAUAUAAUCAAAACCACAAUGAAGUAUUACCUCACCCCAGUUAGGAUGGCUAUUGUCAAAAAGAAAAAAAUAACAUACUGGUAAGGAUAUGGAGAAAACAAUGUACUGUUGGAAGGAAUGAAAACUGUUACAGCCACUGUGGAUAAUGGUAUGGAGGUUCCUCAAAAAACUACAGAUAGAAUACCAGAUGAUCCAGCAAUUUUACAACUGAGAAAUUUAUCCAAAGGAAAGCAAAUCCGUCUGUGGAAGAGAUAUCUGCGCCCUGUGUUUAUUGCAGCACCAUUCACAGUAGCCAAGAUAUGCAGUCAACUCAAGUGUCCAACAACAGAUUAAUGCACAAAGAAAACAUGGUACAUAUAUACAAUGGAAUACUAUUCAGCCGUGAAAAGAAUAAAAAGCAACAUGGAUGGAACCAGGGGACAUGAUGUUCGUGAAAUAAGCAAGGAACGGAAAGUUAAACGCGGCAUGUUCUCAUUCACAUGUGAAAGCUAAAAAAAAGCUGAUCUCAUACAAGUAAAAAGUAGAACAGAGGAUACUGAGGCUGGGAAGGGAGGUGGGAAGGAGAUAGGGAGAGUUUUGUUGAAGGUUGCAAAAUUACAGCUAGAUAGAAUAAGUUUUAGCAUUCUAUACUACUGUAGGAUGACUACAGCUAACAGUUAUAUAUUGCAAAUAGCUAGAAGGAGGAUAUUGGAUGUUCCCAACACAAAUCAAUGAUAUGAUGGAUGUGCUAAUUACCCUGAUCUGAUCACUAUACAUUAUACGUGUUGAAAUAUCACUAUGUACCAUAUGAAUA
rnacentral:lncRNA from 1 species